AGAUACACACAGAGAACAUUCAGCAUAAAGAAGACAAACAUCCUGUGAGGAGAAUCAGAGCUGCUGUGAAGCUGAACUCAACUCACAAUGAAGAUCUUCAUCGUCUUCACAUUCUACCUCAUCUCAGUAUUAAUCUGAUCAGGUUCAGUGAGAUGCUUUGAUGUGACUGGAUAUUCUGGAGGAAGUGUUCUUGUUAAUUCCUGGAAGCUUUGGUGCGAUAACUGUUUUAAAUACAUGGCUAAACAUGAUCCAUACAGAACAAUUAUACAAGAUAAGAAACAUGAUCAAUGGAUUACUGAAGGAAGAUUCACUCUGUUUCAUAACAAAUAUGGAAACCUCAUGAUCUUCAUCAGAGAACUGAAAACAACAGAUGCUGGAAGAUACCAGAUCGGGUUUAAUAGGCAGUGGUUCAUUUAUAUGACUUUAAAUGUGAUUGGAGAUUCUUGUUGUGGGAGGUCAAAAACAGUGACUGUGAAUAGUGGAGAAACUGCUGAGUUCAGCUGUGAAUAUUCACAGAAUCACAAGAAUAACUGGAAGGCAAUAUUCAAAGAAGGAAAAACAUCCAUUGAGGAGAUCUACAGCACAUGGAAUAUGAAAGGAAGAUUCAGUAUUUCUGAUGAAAGAUAUAAAAAUCUCUUCAGUGUCAGAAUUACUGCUGUGACACCAGAUGAUGGAGGAGUUUAUUUAUG